GAGGGCAUAGCUCAAUGGUAGAGUGCAUGCUUAGCAUGUAUGAGGUCCUGGGUUCAAUUCCCAGUACCCCCA
rnacentral:tRNA from 1 species